UACGUAGGGUGCGAGCGUUUAAUCGGAAUUACUGGGCGUAAAGCGUGCGCAGGCGGUUUUGUAAGCCAGAUGUGAAAUCCCCGGGCUUAACCUGGGAAUGGCAUUUGGGACUGCAAGGCUUGAGUGCGGCAGAGGAGACUGGAAUUCCUGGUGUAGCAGUGAAAUGCGUAGAUAUCAGGAGGAACACCGAUGGCGAAGGCGGGUAGCGUGGGCCGACACUGACGCUGAGGCGCGAAAGCCAGGGGAGCGAACGGG
rnacentral:rRNA from 1 species